ensembl:snRNA U6 U6 spliceosomal RNA
GUGCUCGCUUCGGCAGCACAUAUACUAAAAGUGGAACAAUACAGAGUAGAUUAGCACGGCCCCGCGCAAGGAUGACACGCAAGUUCGUGAAGUGUUCCAUAUUUAA